ACAGAAAAGAUGAGAUGAUGGAGGAUGUUCUUCUGUAUACAUGUUUGUGUUAUUGGUUGGAGAAUAAAACACUGGCCAGUAGCUACCAGAUGAGGAGAAUUCUGGGGAGAGGACAAAGAGAGGAGCCACAGGGAAAGCCAUGUAGCUACAGUGAAGAUGGGAUUGCUGGGUGUUCUUUGAUUUUCCAGGCCUGUAGGCUGAAGAUGGAUGCUCCAAUGUGCAAAGGAACCUUGGAUGAUUAUCCAGUCAGCCAACUGUUUAUGUUAUUUCUACAGUUUUGGAAAUUGCUUGCUCUGCACUUCCUGUUUACUCAGAGCAACCUCUUGGGCUUGUGAGCAUCUGCAAGAAGAAAAUUUCAUACCCUACAGCCUGGAAAAGGAAAUGCCUCAACCAAUUUUCCUGCACAGUGUGGAUGGAGUGACAAACACCUUCCCAGAGAGCCUCCAAGGAGGCAAACAAGGCAGAGGAGAGAAAGAACAUAGAAAAAUCCAUGUCUUGCAAAUGCCAAGAGAGAAAACAAUCAAAUUAUCUGGCAAGUCGAUCAUUCAGUGCAGUGUUGGGUUGGGGGUGGGGGAACUGAGAAUCUUGAAAAUCUUCUCGCAUGGGGAAGCAUGCACUACCUUUGCCUGGAACAGCAAAGGAAGCAAUGUUGAGAGGCCUUUUAUCUCAGCAUCCUGCGGGGCCUCCAGUUUGUGCUGCCAGGGGACAGAAUGCUUCUCCAUGGUGGUAGCUCUUUUUCUGCUCAGCUGCCAAGAGGCUGGCAUGUGUGUGGCUCAGCAGUGUGGCCCUCAGCCAGGGCCCGGCCAGCAGCAGCCACCCUCAGAGGAGGAGCACCUGUUCUCCCUAGCCUGGCAUUGA
rnacentral:lncRNA from 1 species